UCUCCUCUUCUUGGUGGGUGUAGGCAUGCGGCCCAGUCCCUGUAAUAAUGUACCGGGGCUGAGGAAAAGGGUCCCACCCCCCUUGGCAUCAUGUCUUUGGUGAUCAUGCUUUUCAGUCCACCCCUUCUAUCCUCAAGCACCAGGACAUGG